rnacentral:rRNA from 1 species
GACGAACGCUGGCGGCGCGCUUAACACAUGCAAGUCGAACGGAAAGGCCUGCUUUCCCUUGUGGAUUGCGGGUACUCGAGUGGCGAACGGGUGAGUAACACGUGAGUGAUCUGCCCCCAACUUGGGUAUAAGCCUGGGAAACUGGGUCUAAUUCCCGAUAGGACUGCAGGGUGGUGCCUGUGGUGGAAAACGAUUUUCUAGUGGUUGGGGAUGAGCUCGCGGCCUAUCAGCUUGUUGGUGGGGGAAUGGCCUACCAAGGCGGCGACGGGUAGCCGGCCUGGGAGGGUGGACGGCCACAUUGGGACUGAGAUACGGCCCAGACUCCUACGGGAGGCAGCAGUGGGGAAUAUUGCACAAUGGGCGGAAGCCUGAUGCAGCGACGCCGCGUGGGGGAUGACGGCCUUCGGGUUGUAAACUCCUUUCGACCGCGAGGAAGCCACCUGGUUGGAAGGGUGGUGACGGUAGUGGUAGAAGAAGCACCGGCUAACUACGUG